GAAUUGCUGAGGAGUCCCAUAAUAGAACGAAACAAUCGUCCAGUGC
rnacentral:hammerhead_ribozyme from 1 species